ACUACUAGACUAGAGUCUGGGAGAGGAAAAUGGAAUUAGUUGUGUAGGGGUAAAAUCCGUAGAGAUAACUAGGAAUACCAAAAGCGAAGGCAAUUUUCUGGAACAGUACUGACGCUCAGAUGCGAAAGCGUGGGUAGCAAACAGGAUUAGAUACCCUGGUAGUCCACGCCCUAAACGAUGAAUGUUAGUCGUCGGGAGGCUCGUCCUUUCGGUGAUGCGGCUAACGCAUUAAACAUUCCGCCUGGGGAGUACGGUCGCAAGAUUAAAACUCAAAGGAAUAGACGGGGACCCGCACAAGUGGUGGAGCAUGUGGUUUAAUUCGAAGAUACGCGAAGAACCUUACCUAGCCUUGACAUUGAUAGAAUCCGAUGGAAACAUUGGAGUGCCAGUUUACUGGAGCUUGAAAACAGGUGCUGCACGGCUGUCGUCAGCUCGUGUCGUGAGAUGUUGGGUUAAGUCCCGCAACGAGCGCAACCCUCGUUCUUAGUUACUAACGGUUCGGCCGAGGACUCUAAGAAGACUGCCUUCGCAAGGAGGAGGAAGGUGAGGACGACGUCGAGUCAUCAUGGCCCUUACGGCCAGGGCGACACACGUGCUACAAUGGGUAGGACAAUGAGACGCGAUACCGCGAGGUGGAGCAAAUCUAUAAACCUACUCUCAGUUCGGAUUGCACUCUGCAACUCGAGUGCAUGAAGCUGGAAUCACUAGUAAUCGUAGAUCAGCCAUGCUACGGUGAAUACGUUCCCGGGUCUUGUACUCACCGCCCGUCACACCAUGGGAGUUGAUUUCACCCGAAGCGGGGAAGCUAAACUGGCUACCCUCCACGGUGGAAUCAGCGACUGGGGUGAAGUCGUAACAAGGUAACC
rnacentral:rRNA from 1 species